rnacentral:rRNA from 1 species
GCGCAGCAGGCGCGAAAACUUUACAAUGUGCGAAAGCACGAUAAGGGAACUCUGAGUGCCUCCUAAGGAGGCUGUUCAGGUGUCUAAAAAGCACCUGGAGUAAGGGCUGGGUAAGACCGGUGCCAGCCGCCGCGGUAACACCGGCAGCCCAGGUGGUAGCCACUUUUAUUGGGUCUAAAGCGUCCGUAGCCGGUUGAGUAAGUUCCUUGGGAAAUUUGGCUGCUCAACAGUCAAGCUUCCAGGGAAUACUGCUCGACUUGGGACUGGGAGAGGUCAGAGGUACUCCAGGGGUAGGGGUGAAAUCCAUUAAUCCCUGGGGGACCACCGGUAGCGAAGGCGUCUGACCAGACCGGGUCCGACGGUGAGGGACGAAGGCUAGGGGCGCGAACCGGAUUAGAUACCC